AUUUCUUCUUGGCCUUUUGGCUAAGAUCAAGUGUAGAAUCAACAAUAUUUAUACUGAGGAAAGACAAGACACAUUAAAAAGUGGAAAAUAUAAAAUUACUGUCUUGCCUAGCUGUUUGUUUGAUUAUCUGAGUGUGUCCGCCCAUGUAACCUGCUUGCUCUGCAGUAGUCUCCAUCUGCAGUGUUGUGGGCACCACAG